AAUAGAUACCCUGGUAGUCCACGCCGUAAACGAUGAGUGCUAAGUGUUAGGGGGUUUCCGCCCCUUAGUGCUGCAGCUAACGCAUUAAGCACUCCGCCUGGGGAGUACGGUCGCAAGACUGAAACUCAAAGGAAUUGGCGGGGGCCCGCACAAGCGGUGGAGCAUGUGGUUUAAUUCGAAGCAACGCGAAGAACCUUACCAGGUCUUGACAUCCCAUUGACCACUAUGGAGACAUAGUUUUCCCUUCGGGGACAACGGUGACAGGUGGUGCAUGGUUGUCGUCAGCUCGUGUCGUGAGAUGUUGGGUUAGGUCCCGCAACGAGCGCAACCCUUGUUCUUAGUUGCCAUCAUUUAGUUGGGCACUCUAAGGAGACUGCCGGUGACAAACCGGAGGAAGGUGGGGAUGACGUCAAAUCAUCAUGCCCCUUAUGACCUGGGCUACACACGUGCUACAAUGGACGGUACAAACGGUUGCCAACCCGCGAGGGGGAGCUAAUCCGAUAAAACCGUUCUCAGUUCGGAUUGUAGGCUGCAACUCGCCUACA
rnacentral:rRNA from 1 species